GAUGAACGCUAGCGGCAGGCCUAACACAUGCAAGUCAGGGGUAACAUGGAAAGCUUGCUCUUCUGAUGACGACCGGCGCACGGGUGCGUAACGCGUAUACAACCUACCUUUUAGCGGGGAAUAGCCCAGGGAAACUUGGAUUAAUGCCCCAUAGUAUAUAGACUUCUCCUGAAGUUUAUAUUAAACAUUUAUGGCUAUUAGAUGGGUAUGCGUCCUAUUAGUUAGUUGGUAAGGUAACGGCUUACCAAGGCAGCGAUAGGUAGGGGUCCUGAGAGGGAGAUCCCCACACUGGUACUGAGACACGGACCAGACUCCUACGGGAGGCAGCAGUGAGGAAUAUUGGACAAUGGGCGAGAGCCCGAUCCAGCCAUGCCGCGUGCAGGAAGACUGCCCUAUGGGUUGUAAACUGCUUUUACAGAGGAAGAACCACCCCCACGUGUGGGGGUUUGACGGUACUCUGCGAAUAAGGAUCGGCUAACUCCGUG
rnacentral:rRNA from 1 species